GCCAACUAUUAGCUACCGUGAACCAAAUGCCCGUAGCCAUCCCUACAGGAAACCACUCCACACCUCACCUCAUAGAACGCCGCCACUUUGACGAAGAGCCAACUCCAGAGUCCAGACGUCCCCGUUCAACCCGAAAAAGCCCACCGAUCAUUCCACCGCGAUCCAUCGUCGCAAUAGCGGUCACCGUCGCCACGACAAACGCCAGAAUCUCAAGUGGUGGUUUUUCAUAAAUUUUGUUGCCCAAUAUGUCCUCGCUCCUUGAUAGCACUCCGCCUGCCACACCAGGCAAAUUCAAAACGGACAAAUCCUCAACGUACCUUUACCCUCACCAUCGUUCUCUGCGGUUGCACUCUUCUCUGCCCAAACUCCCUUUCUACUCCUUUCUCUUCUUUAUUGUCUUUCUCUGUCUUCCUCCUCUCCCCUUCCCCUCCUUCCCCUCACUGCCAAGCCAAAACCGAUCCACCUGGCGGUCCUCUCUGGGAGAAAAAGGUCGCCAAAUCUGAGCGUCCCAAAUUACGCACUGGCCUAACUGUUUUGGUCACCGGUGCUGCUGGCUUCGUCGGAACGCAUGUCUCCGUCGCGCUGAAACGUCGGGGAGAUGGCGUGCUUGGGCUUGACAAUUUCAAUCACUACUACGAU
rnacentral:misc_RNA from 1 species